rnacentral:rRNA from 1 species
GUAGGGUGCGAGCGUUAAUCGGAAUUACUGGGCGUAAAGCGUGCGCAGGCGGUUUUGUAAGUCAGAUGUGAAAUCCCCGGGCUCAACCUGGGAACUGCAUUUGAGACUGCAAGGCUAGAGUGUGGCAGAGGGGGGUGGAAUUCCACGUGUAGCAGUGAAAUGCGUAAAGAUGUGGAGGAACACCGAUGGCGAAGGCAGCCCCCUGGGCCAAUACUGACGCUCAUGCACGAAAGCGUGGGGAGCAAACAGGAUUAGAUACCCUGGUAGUCCACGCCCUAAACGAUGUCAACUAGGUGUUGGAAGGGUUAAACCUUUUAGUGCCGCAGCUAACGCGUGAAGUUGACCGCCUGGGGAGUACGGCCGCAAGGCUA